rnacentral:rRNA from 1 species
UGCAAGUCGAGCGCACCUUCGGGUGAGCGGCGGACGGGUUAGUAACGCGUGGGAACAUACCCUUUGGUACGGAAUAGCCUCUGGAAACGGAGAGUAAUACCGUAUGAGCCCUUCGGGGGAAAGAUUUAUCGCCAAAGGAUUGGCCCGCGUUAGAUUAGGUAGUUGGUGGGGUAAUGGCCUACCAAGCCUACGAUCUAUAGCUGGUUUUAGAGGAUGAUCAGCAACACUGGGACUGAGACACGGCCCAGACUCCUACGGGAGGCAGCAGUGGGGAAUCUUGGACAAUGGGGGCAACCCUGAUCCAGCCAUGCCGCGUGAGUGAUGAAGGCCUUAGGGUCGUAAAGCUCUUUCGCCUGUGAAGAUAAUGACGGUAGCAGGUAAAGAAACCCCGGCUAACUCCGUGCCAGCAGCCGCGGUAAUACGGAGGGGGUUAGCGUUGUUCGGAAUUACUGGGCGUAAAGCGCACGUAGGCGGACUGGAAAGUUGGGGGUGAAAUCCCAGGGCUCAACCCUGGAACUGCCUCCAAAACUAUCAGUCUAGAGUUCGAGAGAGGUGAGUGGAAUUCCGAGUGUAGAGGUGAAAUUCGUAGAUAUUCGGAGGAACACCAGUGGCGAAGGCGGCUCACUGGCUCGAUACUGACGCUGAGGUGCGAAAGUGUGGGGAGCAAACAGGAUUAGAUACCCUGG